UACGAAGGGGGCUAGCGUUGCUCGGAAUCACUGGGCGUAAAGGGUGCGUAGGCGGGUUUUUAAGUCAGAGGUGAAAUCCUGGAGCUCAACUCCAGAACUGCCUUUGAUACUGAAAGUCUUGAGUAUGGGAGAGGUGAGUGGAACUGCGAGUGUAGAGGUGAAAUUCGUAGAUAUUCGCAAGAACACCAGUGGCGAAGGCGGCUCACUGGCCCAUAACUGACGCUGAGGCACGAAAGCGUGGGAGCAAACGGG
rnacentral:rRNA from 1 species